AGAGUUUGAUCCUGGCUCAGAGCGAACGCUGGCGGCGUGCCUAACACAUGCAAGUCGAACGGGAAUGCCCUUCGGGGUUAGUAUAGUGGCGCACGGGUGAGUAACACGUGGGUAACCUGCCCUUUGAGACGGGGAUAACCUACCGAAAGGUGGGCUAAUACCGGAUAAGACCACAACCAUGACGGUGGUAGAGGUCAAAGACACCCUCUGAACGUAAGGCGUCGCUCGGGGAUGGGCUCGCGGCCCAUUAGUUAGUUGGUGAGGUAAUGGCUCACCAAGGCGAAGAUGGGUAGCUGGUCUGAGAGGAUGAUCAGCCACACUGGGACUGAGACACGGCCCAGACUCCUACGGGAGGCAGCAGUGGGGAAUAUUGCGCAAUGGGCGAAAGCCUGACGCAGCAACGCCGCGUGAGUGAUGAAGGCCUUCGGGUUGUAAAGCUCUGUCGGGUGGAACGAAUAGGUGGAAUGUGAAUAGCCUUUCACCAUGACGGUACCACCAAAGGAAGCACCGGCUAACUCCGUGCCAGCAGCCGCGGUAAUAC
rnacentral:rRNA from 1 species